UGGGGAAUAUUGGGCAAUGGGCGAAAGCCUGACCCAGCGACGCCGCGUGGGUGAUGAAGGCCUUCGGGUUGUAAAGCCCUUUCGUGCGGAAAGAACAGCCCUGUAGUUAAUACCUGCAGGGUUUGACGGUACCGCAGGAAGAAGCACCGGCUAACUCCGUGCCAGCAGCCGCGGUAAUACGGAGGGUGCAAGCGUUGUUCGGAAUUAUUGGGCGUAAAGGGCGCGUAGGUGGUUGUGAUAGUCAGAUGUGAAAUCCUUUGGCUUAACCGAAGAACUGCAUCGGAGACUUCACAGCUGGAUGACAGGAGAGGGAGACGGAAUUCCGGGUGUAGAGGUGAAAUUCGUAGAUAUCGGGAGGAAAACCAGUGGCGAAGGCGGUUUCCUGGCCUGAUACUGACACUGAGGCGCGAAAGCGUGGGGAGCAAACAG
rnacentral:rRNA from 1 species